CGAGAAAUUCCAGAGCUUUGAGCAUAUUGGAAAGGGAGGACAAGAGAAUCCAGCGAAGCAAAAAUAAAAGAGGAAGAGAAAGAUUCCGACGUCGGCGGCAACUGACGCCGGAAGAAAGAGAAAAUAAACUUUUGGUUUCUAGAGAGAGAUUAUUGGAUGCAAAGCUUAUUGGAAGUUCCAUAGUACUGCAGGCAGAACUGUUCGUUGUGGUCGUUUGCUGUGGAGAGAGCAUGUCCAUGAGGAUGUCGUACAUGCAGAACCGUUUGUCGAUCGAAGUGUUUCGGGGAAAGCUUCAUCGUGGAAUCCUUAUCCGUGGAGUUGUUCAUCAAUAUCACAUAUGUUGCAAGUAGUUGAUCAUCGUAUGUAACCGACUUAGAGAUUAUAUGAUGAUGUAAUGUGUUACCCAAUGUUAAAUAAAAUAGUUCUAAUCA